GACAGAGGGUGCAAACGUUGUUCGGAAUUACUGGGCGUAAAGCGCGUGUAGGCGGCUGCGCAAGUCGGAUGUGAAAUCCCGUGGCUCAACCACGGAAGUGCACCCGAAACUGCGUAGCUUGAGUCUCGGAGAGGAAGGUGGAAUGCUUGGUGUAGAGGUGAAAUUCGUAGAUAUCAAGCGGAACACCGGUGGCGAAGGCGGCCUUCUGGACGAUGGCUGACGCUGAGACGCGAAAGCGUGGGGAGCAAACAGG
rnacentral:rRNA from 1 species